rfam:Schistosoma margrebowiei strain Zambia genome assembly, scaffold: SMRZ_scaffold0001052
GCAUUACUGAGGAGUCUCACGAUAGGACGAAACGGCCGUCCAGUAC